GGUCGAGUAGUUUAGUGGACUAUGACGAUUGCUUCACACGCAAUAGACCCGGGUUCGAUUCCCGGCUUGACCU
rnacentral:tRNA from 1 species